ACUGGUUUCGACGGGGGUCGCGAAGUCGCUUGGCGCAUGCCGAGGGGGCAGCUUUCCUCGUUAAUCCAGCAGCAAACUUUUAGUUGCCAACGAUGACAACUACGGUUCGGACUUCGCUAUCGCCGCUUAAUUGGCUUUAGUUGUCGUUCUACAGCCGCCUAAGGCGAACCCCCGAACCUACUUGUGCCCGUGCUCGUAGGUGUAGGGUC
rnacentral:tmRNA from 1 species